CUGAGGGCCCCCAGGGCCACAACAGGCCAUGUAUGCUCAGUCGUUCUCUCACCAUUCGGGCCCCAUGCAUCAUCCUCAGCCCUCCAGCACCCCACUGGGAACCAGCCUCCCCCCAGCACACGGCCCCCAGUCCGGGACACAAUCAGUCAAAUCAGGCUGGUCCUCGCCCCAGUCCAUGUUCCACCGGGGGGU